CCUACGGGCGGCAGCAGUGGGGAAUAUUGGACAAUGGGCGAAAGCCUGAUCCAGCCAUGCCGCGUGUGUGAAGAAGGCCUUCGGGUUGUAAAGCACUUUCAGUGGGGAAGAAAGCCUUGGGGCUAAUACCCUCGAGGAAGGACAUCACCCACAGAAGAAGCACCGGCUAACUCCGUGCCAGCAGCCGCGGUAAUACGGAGGGUGCGAGCGUUAAUCGGAAUUACUGGGCGUAAAGCGCGCGUAGGCGGUCUGAUAAGCCGGUUGUGAAAGCCCCGGGCUCAACCUGGGAACGGCAUCCGGAACUGUCAGGCUAGAGUGCAGGAGAGGAAGGUAGAAUUCCCGGUGUAGCGGUGAAAUGCGUAGAGAUCGGGAGGAAUACCAGUGGAGAAGGCGGUCUUCUGGACUGACACUGACGCUGAGGUGCGAAAGCGUGGGUAGCAAACAGGAUUAGAUACCCGAGUAGUC
rnacentral:rRNA from 1 species